rnacentral:lncRNA from 1 species
CUUGUACCCUCUGUUUACAUGUUUUCUUCCCCUUUCCUAGAUCCUCCUUCCCCCUGUUUUAGUCUGGAGUAUUUAGCUGAAGCUGUUGAAUUUUGUUUGCACCAGGAAUAAAUCUCUCUGGAUUUGAGGAAGAAGGGAAGUGGGAAAAGGAUAAAAAAAGAAGGCAAGCAGGAAAUAAAUGUCAGACUUGCUUCCUGCGUCACUGUGAUCCAGCACUUCUCCACUUGCUCGUUAGCUCAGUGAAACCAUCAACUCAGCAAGCUGAAAUUGUUGGCACUCUCCAUGGAGAAGCACAGUCCUGGCAUCGCUGGUAUCCUGUAAGACACCACUCCCCAGUGUAAAAGACCAAAUGCUGGAAUUAGGUGCUAUUUAGAAGGGAAGCAGGAGAAUUAAAUGCCAUUCAAAAGAUUUCCUUUUUCAAGAUGUUUCAAAGUUUGCAGAUCUGGUCAAAAAGUAACUUCUAGUACAAUAACACCUGAAAAACCUGCCUAAGCCUCGGGUAAG